rnacentral:rRNA from 1 species
GACGAACGCUGGCGGCGUGCUUAACACAUGCAAGUCGAACGGUGAAGCGCCUUCCUUUUUGGUGGGUGUGGAUGAGUGGCGAACGGGUGAGUAACACGUGAGUAACCUGCCCCCUUCUUCUGGAUAACCGCAUGAAAGUGUGGCUAAUACGGGAUAUUCUGGGUCUGUCGCAUGUUGUGUCUGGGAAAGAUUUUGUUUCGGUGGGUGAUGGGCUCGCGGCCUAUCAGCUUGUUGUUGGGGUGAUGGCCUACCAAGGCGGUGAGGGGUAGCCGGCCUGAGAGGGUGGACGGUAACAGUGGGGAUGAGACAAGGACAAGACUCAGACGGGAGGCAGCAGUGGGGAAUAUUGCACAAUGGGAGAAAGCCUGAUGCAGCGACGCCGCGUGAGGGAGGGAGGCCUGAGGGUUGUGAACCUCUUUCGCGAGUGAAGAAGGCCUGAAUAGUUUGUGGGUGGGUUGACGGUAGCUGGAGAAGAAGCGACGGCUAACUACGUG